CGCUGUACAAUGGGUGGACUAACAGACACAUAAUUGAGAUCAGACCACUGACGUACAGGAACAGAGGGGGUUGAGGGCCCUGCUCGAUGAGCUUACAUGCUAGAGGGAGUGGGGUAUAGUGACACAAAGGGUUAAAGUAGGGGAAUUAAAUAGUUUGUUACAGAAGGGUUUAUUGAGUGCUUGGUAGGUCAUUUUUGACAGGUGAAGGAACGGAGUCAUGGGGUGGGGGAUGAGAAACCUGCUGACAGUUUAAUUGAUACGCUUUAAUGAAGAAGUGAGUUUUCAAAGAUUUUUUGAAGGAAUGGAGGCUGGGUGAAAGUCUGAUUGAGGAGGGAAGGGAGUUCCACAGAAUAGGUGCAGCCCUGGAGAAGUCUUGAAGGCGAGCAUCAGAGGU